rnacentral:rRNA from 1 species
CAAUAGCGUAUAUUAAAGUUGUUGCAGUUAAAAAGCUCGUAGUUGGAUUUCUGUUCUUGGGAUCUGGUCCGCCUCACGGUGAGCACUGGAUAACUGGGGACAUCCUCUCGAAGGCGGCAGGUGCACUUGAUUGUGUGUUUGUUGAAUUCGGGACCUUUACUUUGAAAAAAUUAGAGUGUUCAAAGCAGGCGUCGGCUUGAAUACAUUAGCAUGGAAUAAUGGAAUGGGACUUUGGUUCUAUUUUGUUGGUUUCUAGGACCGAAGUAAUGAUUAAUAGGGACAGUUGGGGGCAUUAGUAUUUAAUUGUCAGAGGUGAAAUUCUUGGAUUUAUGAAAGACUAACUACUGCGAAAGCAUUUGCCAAGGAUGUUUUCAUUAA